CAAGUGCAUAGUAUAUGCAGACGUGAAGUGCCUGAGCUGUCGCAGAUAUCCAACCAGCUGUACUGAAGUCGAUCCUGAUGACACAACAGUUAUAGAGCCUCUGAUCCAGACCCGCUGGGACUGGGCUGCCAUCUCUGUGCUGGCUCCUCUCACUGGCCUCUGCUUGGCGCGGGGAGAAAAACAUCCUCCCUCUGCACAAUUGUGUUGUUAUUGACCGGCGGAGGUAAAGAAGUGGGUCGAUAAGUGGAUCCGAUUAAUUAGCGUCCCAGAUUGGCUACAGCACACCAAAUGUCAGAGGAUGCUUGGUCUGUAGGACUGCACAUCGGGCGUUUCAUAUAAGUGAGCUGAAGAGCGCCAGGCAGACAGCGUGUCUACAAGUGCAGCCAAUUACAAGUGGAAGGGAUCAGUGGACCAGCAAGAUGGACCUGGCCAAAUCUGCAGUGUCCUUCUAUAUUCUUCUUUUGAGUCCUGCAUGGGCCUUAUCCCACCACCCUCAUAUGGAUACCUUCCUCUCUGCCCAGGCAGCCCUCAGGUUUCUGAGAGAGCCAGUGAGGUUUGACCCCUGUUGUCUCACAUCACGCG